rnacentral:rRNA from 1 species
ACACGACUACAUUAGAUACCCCCGUAGUCCUAGCCGUAAACGAUACUCGCUAGGUGUCGGUCACGGUGCGACCGUUGUCGGUGCCGUAGGGAAGCCGUGAAGCGAGCCACCUGGGAAGUACGGCCGCAAGGCUGGAACUUAAAGGAAUUGGCGGGGGAGCACAACAACGGGUGGAGCUUGCGGUUUAAUUGGAUUCAACGCCGGAAAUCUUACCGGGACCGACAGCAACAUGAAGGCCAGGCUGAAGACUUUGCCGGAUUAGCUG